rfam:Acidobacteria bacterium RIFCSPLOWO2_12_FTLL_67_14b rifcsplowo2_12_scaffold_2681, whole genome shotgun sequence.
AUAUGACACGGCCCGACGGUGGCCAGUCUGGCCGCCACAUUCGGACGCGGCGCGAUGAC